UACGGAGGGGGCUAGCGUUGUUCGGAAUUACUGAGCGUAAAGCGCACGUAGGCGGCUUUGUAAGUUAGAGGUGAAAGCCCGGGGCUUAACCCUGGAAUUGCCUUUAAGACUGCAUCGCUAGAAUUGUGGAGAGGUGAGUGGAAUUCCGAGUGUAGAGGUGAAAUGCGCAGAUAUCGGGAGGAACACCGGUGGCGAAGGCGGUUCUCUGGGCCGACACUGACACUGAGAGACGAAAGCUAGGGGAGCGAAUGGG
rnacentral:rRNA from 1 species